GCGCUCCACAUCCCGGGCUCGGGAGCGCCCCCGAUUGGCCGCUGGCUUGCCAGCGGGUCGCGCCCAGAACCACGCCCGGCCUGCCGGUCGCUUGAGAGCAGUACCCUCUGGAAAGGUGGGGAGGAUGCGGCGAGGCCCGCGCAGGAGACCGUGGGCAGCCAUUGUGGCGUGCUCCCGCAACUGUUUACGUGAGGCCGAGCGCGCCUCUUGGUGGGGCUGACUCCAGUUGAUGAGAGGGGAGCCUUGACUCCGUGAUACCCCGGAACCUCCUCGGGAUGCCCUAUAGAGAGGCAGACGGCGUGCGUCUCCAGCGUGGUGGGACUGCGGGCCAAAUGCUUGCGCUUAACACUUCUUCCAGGAUAAUUUCAUACAAAACUUACCUGUGGCCAACCAAAACACACUAAGAAGAUAGAAGUAAAACUUUGCCUCCCCUACAGUUUCUGGUGAUGAGUUUUGGAUUUCAGUAGUUGGGACAUUGAGAGAUCCAGGGACAUCUGACAGAAAGCCAGCAGAAGCAUUGGUCAAGAUGGCAAAAAAAGAUGAACAUAAUAAAAUAUAAGUGCAAUGAGAGGAGUCACUAGAACAUCUGUGGAAGCACAAAGGAGAAACUGCCUAGGAGUCAAGAAACACUUCACAGAGAAGAUUGUAGCCAUAAAUUUUCCUGUGGAAUCCAAAAAGGGCCAUAAUGGAGAGAUGGGAUUAAGAUGGCAGAAUAGAAGGACUGGAGCUCAAGUUCUCUCCUAAAAACAACAAAAUUUACAACCAAAUGCUGAGCAAUCUUCAACCAAAUGCACCGGAAACUUUCAAAAAGAUAGCCUACUCCAGACGACAAAGAGGAGGCCACAUCAAGAGGUGGGAGGGGUUAUUACGUGGUGAAAGCAACCCCACACCUCCUGGAUGGGAAGCCCCACAGACUGGAAACUAACUGGUUCACAGAGACUCACCUACAGGAGUGAGAGUUCUGAGCCUCACAUCAAACUCCCAUGUAUGGGGAUCUGGCACUGGAAGAAAGCCCCCAGAGCAUCUGGCAUUCAAGGCCAGUGGGGCUUGUGUGCAGGAGCCCCACAGGACUGGGGGAAAUGGAGACCCCAUUCUUAAAAGGCUCACACAGACCUUCACAUGCACUGGGUCCUAGAGCAAAGCAAAAUCUCCAUAGGAAUCUGGGUCAAAUCUGACUGCAGUUCUUGGAGGACUUCCUGGGAAAACAGGGGUGGACGUGGCUUGUUGUGAGGGAAGGACAUUGGAAGCAAAGCUCUCAGGAAUAUUCAGCAGUGGUGCCUUUCUCUGGAGGUGGCCAUUUUGGGAAAAUCUGGCCCCACCCAUCAGCACUGAGAAGGCCCAGGGCAAACAACAAUCCAGGUGGGAUCACAUAUCUGCCCAUCAGUAAACAGGCUGCCUAAAGAUCCCCCAAGCACACAGUCAUCUCUAAUCUCACCCAGAGACAAAGCCCCACCCACCAUAGGGACAGGAAUCAGCUCCACCUACCAGUGUGCAGGCAUCAGUCCCUCCCAUCAGGAAGCCUAUAGCAAGCCCCCAUACCAAUUUCAGCCACAAGGGGGGCAGACAUCAGAAGUACGAGAGGCUAUAACUCCAUUAUCUGUUAAAAGGUCACCACACCAAAAACCCAUGAAAAUGAAAAAACGGAGAACUAUAAAUCAGAUGAAGGAGAAAGAAAAAAACCCAGAAAAACAGCUAAGUGAGCAGGAGAUUCUCAGCCUCCAGGAAAAAGACUUUAGACUGUUGAUGCUGAAGAUGAUGCAAGACAUUGGAAAUAAACUGGAGGCAAAGAUGGAUAAUUUUAUAGGGAACACUGAGCAAAGAGAUACAAGAUAUAAAACUUAAACAAGAACAUAUGCAAAAUACAAUAACUGAAAUAAAAAAUUCGCUAGAAGCAGCUAACAGCAGAAUACAGGAGGCAGAAGAAUGAAUAAGUGAGGUGGAGGACAGAUUAGUGGAAAUUACGGAUGCGAAACAAAAGAGAAAAAAGAUUGAAAACAAGAGAGUCUCAGAGAAUUCUGGGACAACAUUAAAUGCACCAACAUCCAUAUUAUAGGGGUGCCAGAAGAAGAGAGAGAGAAGGGGACAGAAAAAAUAUUCCAAGAGAUAAUAGCCAAAAACUUCCCUAACAUGGGGAAGGAAUCACUCACUCGAAUCCAGCAAGCACAAUGAGUACCAUACAAAAUAAACCCAAGGAGGAACACCCCAAGAAACAUACUAAUCAAACUGACCAAAAUUAAAGACAAAGAGAAAAUCUUGAAAGCAGCUAGGGAAAAGAAACAAAUAACGUACAAGGGAACCCCGAUAAGGCUAUCGGCAGAUUUUUCAGCAGAAACUCUGCAGGCCAGGAGGGAGUGGCAUGAUAUACUCAACGUGAUGAAAGGAAGAAACCUCCAACCAAGAUUACUUUACCCAGCAAGGCUCUCAUUCAGAUUUGAAGGAGAAAUCAAAACCUCAGAUAAGCAAAAGCUGAGAGAAUUCAGCAACACUAAAUCAGCCUUACAACAAAUACAAAAGGAACUUCUCUAGAAAGAACAAAAAAGGACUCAACCAGAAACAAAAAUACUACAAAUGACAAGGCUCACCAGUAAAGAUAUAUAUACAGUAAAGAUACGAAAUCAUCCAUGCACAAUUAUGCCACCAAAAUCAAAAAUCAUGUGAAGAGGAGGGUUCAAAUGCAGGACACUGGAGAUGCACUUGAAAUUUAAGAGACCAACAACUUAAAACAAUUUUGUGUAUAUAUGUUUAUAUAUAUAUAUACUCAUAUCAAAACUUCGGAAUAACUGCAAACCAAAAAUCUACAAUUGAUACACAAAUAAGAAAAAUCAACUCAAAUACAACACUAAAGAUAGUCAUUAAACUGGAAG
rnacentral:lncRNA from 1 species